GGGCGGGGCCUACGGGAGGCAGCAGCUAAGAAUCUUCCGCAAUGGGCGCAAGCCUGACGGAGCGAUGCCGCGUGGAUGAAGAAGGCCGAGAGGUUGUAAAAUCCUUUUAUCACAGAAGAAUAACCUUUGGAGGUAAUGCCAGGGGGAUGACGUUAUGUGAUGAAUAAGCACCGGCCAGGUACGUG
rnacentral:rRNA from 1 species